AAGAGAAAUUGUCAGCCAAAAUUAAAGCUGAGUUGUAUUAGGAGAUCACAGUCUGAGUAAUGGAGGAUUUACUAUUGUCAACUGAGAGGCUUACCAAUGGAUCACAAUAUUUUACUGUUACCUUGGAUUUCCAAGUAUUUAGACCAGUCUACUGUCUCUGGUCUAAGUAAAUAUCCAAACUCUGGAGAGGAAGAUGUUACAUUUUAUUCCUUCUCAAUAUAUAAUCCCCAUACUGACCAGUACAGUGCAUAUUUAUUUUUUCUUCUUUUUUUUUAUUAACUGGUAAAGAAACAGGCUCUAGCCUUAAGACACUGACAGGAUUUGAUACUAGUGCUGAGUAUGAAAGAGCUAGAAAACUAAAGACAAACCUCUGCACGGAGAAAGGGAUAGCAACACUCAUCAUGUAUUCCCAUUACUGCUAACAUUACUGUAACUACCGUAUUCAUCAGAAUACCUGCACUUAACAUUUCAUUUUCCUAUCAGCUCUCAUAAUUCAGAGGCUCGGUGGCAUUGUUUGCUAGGGUGGUGUCUGUAUUUAAUGUCUACUUGCAGUGUUUUUCCCUAAUCUAUUAUGACGUCUGACUGACGUGCAUUUAUUUGUUUUUACAGGUUGAAGUGGGGUUGAUGAACUGAGGGGCAGAGCAGGAGGUUGGGAUUCCUGGGUCUUAUUCCCACUAACCUGCUGGAUGACCUUUGGAAGAUGGCUCAGUUCAACCAUCUGUAAAACAAGUAUACAACUUACUGCUCUGAUGUCUUGUGAGGUUUAAUAGUUGAGUUCCUCUGAAAUUUGCUCUAUACAGCCGAGAGAAAGAAAGCACUCGACUGUGAGUCGUGUGAACCGGAGCGCCUCGUCGAAUGUUGAAGCUUUGAGGAGGCAAUCGUCGAGGUGUCUGGAGACCUAAAGACCGGAGGGUUGUUCUGGAGUCUUUCAUUGAAUGAAGCACUUCAUUCGUGUUAGCAGCAAAGAGUUUGUCACCGUCGAAGGGAAGAUCUUCAAUUGUGUUCUGAACUUCGCGAGGAAAAAAGGAAGAGGAGAGCCAUGAGCCCCGUCGCAUGACUAUCGCUGUAGCGGUAGAUCUUGCCGCUGUGUUGGCUACAUCGAGGGCUGCUUGGAGAGCGGUGCGUGAAAUGGCUUGGCCCUCAGAAACUAUAGCUCUGAACUGUUGUUUUCUUUGUUCUGGAAUGUCAUCAAUAAAGUCCAUUAACUUA